UACGUAGGGUGCAAGCGUUGUCCGGAAUUAUUGGGCGUAAAGCGCGCGCAGGCGGUCCUUUAAGUCUGAUGUGAAAGCCCACGGCUCAACCGUGGAAGGUCAUUGGAAACUGGAGGACUUGAGUACAGAAGAGGAAAGCGGAAUUCCACGUGUAGCGGUGAAAUGCGUAGAGAUGUGGAGGAACACCAGUGGCGAAGGCGGCUUUCUGGUCUGUAACUGACGCUGAGGCGCGAAAGCGUGGGGAGCAAACAGG
rnacentral:rRNA from 1 species